GCCCGCCUAGCUCAAUCGGAUAGAGCGUCAGACUCUUACAUAUGUAUCUCUGAAACAGGCGGGAUCUGAAGGCUGCGAGUUCGACCCUCGCGGUGGGCU